rnacentral:lncRNA from 1 species
UCGGGUCCUGGCAAUGCCACCGAGGCUCCCCGUGGGGUGUCCUGCAGCGUGUGCCCCCCCCCAGCCCCGUCCCCAGCCCCUGUCUGUGCGAGCAGCUCCGGAGGGAAGCGGCGAGGCUUCCUCUGCGUGCUGAUAACCCCGGGCAGCGUCAUCUGACGGCAGCAGCCAGCCCCAGGCAGGCUCUGUGCCCUCCUGCCCUGCUGCUGAGUGCCUGUGGGCCUCUCCUGCUGCUGGUACCGUGCCUGGCCCUACAGCUGUCCCCGCGUCUGUCCCCACACCUGUCCCCAUACCUGUCCCCACGUCUGUCCCCAUAUCUGUCCUUCUGUCUGUCCCCACAUCUGACCUCGUGUCUGUCCCUAUAUCUGUCCCCACGUCUGUCCCUCUGUCUAGCCUUGUGUUUGUCCCCAUAUCUGUCCCCGUGUGUCUCCCCAUAUCUAUCCCCACACCUGUCCCCACAUCUGUCCCUGUGUCUAUCCUUGUGUUUGUCCCCAUAUCUGUCCCUGUAUCUAUCCCCACGUCUGUCCCUGUGUCCGUCCCCAUACCUGUCCCUACAUCUGUCCCCGUGUCUGUCCCCCUGUCUGUCCCUGUGUCCAUCCCCUAUCCAUCCCCACACCCCCCCCGUGCCCAUUCCCGACCCCAGCCCCUCGUUUUCCCCCCCAGUGUCCCGGUUUCCCCCGGCCCCCCCCCGUGCUCCCCCUUCCCCUCCUCUCCUCCCAGCCCUGCCCUCCCUCGCCCGGCCCCAUCCCUUCCCCUCCCCGCCCCGUCCCUCCCCCUGCAGCCGCCCCGGGACCGGGUUGUGGGAUCGGGGCAGGACGGGGACGCGAUCGCUCCUCGCUGCAGGUGAGGGUCGGGCACCGGGGGGGGGGGCUUCGGGGAUCGUCCCCACGGGGUCUCGGGGCUGCCCGGUGCUGCUGGCCCCAGCCCCAAAACGCGUGGCCCCCGGGGCACCCCCGGCACGGAGAGGGAGGGUCCGGGGGGGUUCUCCCUGUCUGUGGGGGGGGGAAGCUCCCCAAGGGGGUCGGGGUGGGGUGGGGUGGGAUGGGAUGGGAUGGAUGGGGUUGGGAUGGGUGCUGGGAUGGUGCUGGGAUGGGAUGGAUGGGGCUGAAAUGGAUGGUACUGGGAUGGGAUGGAUGGGUGCUGGGAUGGGAUGGAUG